AUCCAGUUGACGAGUCUCGAAUAGGACGAAACGUGCAUCCUGGAU
rnacentral:hammerhead_ribozyme from 1 species